rnacentral:pre_miRNA from 1 species
AGAUUUUCGAAUCCGUGCUGAGAUUUCGUCGCACACCAAUAAAUUUGGGCUGAUUAGACUACCAAGAUAAGUGAAGUU